ACACUCCUGCGGGAGGCAGCAGUAGGGAAUCUUCGGCAAUGGGGGCAACCCUGACCGAGCAACGCCGCGUGAGUGAAGAAGGUUUUCGGAUCGUAAAGCUCUGUUGUAAGUCAAGAACGAGUGUGAGAGUGGAAAGUUCACACUGUGACGGUAGCUUACCAGAAAGGGACGGCUAACUACGUGCCAGCAGCCGCGGUAAUACGUAGGUCCCGAGCGUUGUCCGGAUUUAUUGGGCGUAAAGCGAGCGCAGGCGGUUUGAUAAGUCUGAAGUUAAAGGCUGUGGCUCAACCAUAGUUCGCUUUGGAAACUGUCAAACUUGAGUGCAGAAGGGGAGAGUGGAAUUCCAUGUGUAGCGGUGAAAUGCGUAGAUAUAUGGAGGAACACCGGUGGCGAAAGCGGCUCUCUGGUCUGUAACUGACGCUGAGGCUCGAAAGCGUGGGGAGCGAACAGGAUUAGAAACCCUAGUAGUCCCA
rnacentral:rRNA from 1 species